rnacentral:rRNA from 1 species
GUAUCCUUACCUGAAUACAUAGGGUAAGGAGGCGAACCGGGGGAACUGAAACAUCUAAGUACCCCGAGGAAAAGAAAUCAACCGAGAUUCCGAAAGUAGCGGCGAGCGAAAUUGGACUAGCCCUUAAGCUUUACACGCGUUAGACGAACGGUCUGGAAAGUCCGACGAUACAGGGUGAUAGUCCCGUAGUUGACGACGUGUGUUCAGUGAAAUCGAGUAGGGCGGGACACGUGAUAUCCUGUCUGAAUAUGGGGGGACCAUCCUCCAAGGCUAAAUACUACUG